GCUAAAUGUGAAAUAAAUAAAUGAGUAAAUCAGUUAAAAGAUUACUUCUUUUAACAAAUAUAUGUGUGCAUACGGUAAUGUAGUAUGUAGUGAUGUGUCGAUGUGUCAUAAAUCAUAUGGUAAACAAUAUGGUUCUGAUGAGGUCCAGAAGAAAUUGACGUCAGAGCGGUCAGAGAGUCCGAGACUGAAAGAACGCGCGGUAGGUCCAGUAUUGGUCUCUGUAUAAGGAUGACCACUCCAUCAGAGGCGUCAGAGCAGCUUACGAUUGAUCAUUGUUAAUUCCCGUGAUCCAUGAAGAAUAUUACAUUCGAGUUAUAACCACAAGCUUCCGUUACAUAUUACUUAGGCUAUGAUCCACGCUUCGAAGCAUUUGU